rnacentral:rRNA from 1 species
CCUACGGGGGGCAGCAGUGAGGAAUAUUGGUCAAUGGACGAGAGUCUGAACCAGCCAAGUAGCGUGAAGGAUGACUGCCCUAUGGGUUGUAAACUUCUUUUAUAAAGGAAUAAAACGAGGCACGUGUGCCUUUUUGCAUGUACUUUAUGAAUAAGGAUCGGCUAACUCCGUGCCAGCAGCCGCGGUAAUACGGAGGAUCCGAGCGUUAUCCGGAUUUAUUGGGUUUAAAGGGAGCGUAGAUGGGUUGUUAAGUCAGUUGUGAAAGUUUGCGGCUCAACCGUAAAAGUGCAAUUGAUACUGGCAGUCUUGAGUACAGUUGAGGUAGGCGGAAUUCGUGGUGUAGCGGUGGAAUGCUUAGAUAUAACGAAGAACCCCGAUUGCGAAGGCAGCUUACUAAACUGUGACUGACAUUGAUGCUCGAAAGUGUGGGUAUCAAACAGGAUUAGAUACCCUUGUAGUC